AGAGUUUGAUCCUGGCUCAGAAUCAACGCUGGCGGCGUGCCUAACACAUGCAAGUCGAACGCGAAAGUGGAGCAAUCCAUGAGUAGAGUGGCAAACGGGUGAGUAACACGUGGGUGACCUGCCUUCGAGCGGGGGAUAACGUCCCGAAAGGGACGCUAAUACCGCAUGACAUCCUGUCUUUUAAGAGAUGGAGAUCAAAGCUGGGGAUCGCAAGACCUAGCACUCGAAGAGGGGCCCGCGCCUGAUUAGCUAGUUGGUGAGGUAACGGCUCACCAAGGCGACGAUCAGUAUCCGGCCUGAGAGGGCGGACGGACACACUGGGACUGAGACACGGCCCAGACUCCUACGGGAGGCAGCAGUGGGGAAUUGUUCGCAAUGGGCGCAAGCCUGACGACGCAACGCCGCGUGGAGGAUGAAGAUCUUCGGGUCGUAAACUCCUUUCGAUCGAGACGAACGGCUUCCGGGUGAACAAUCCGGGAGAGUGACGGUACCGAGAGAAGAAGCCCCGGCNNNNNNGUGCCAGCAGCCGCGGUAAUACGGGGGGGGCAAGCGUUGUUCGGAAUUACUGGGCGUAAAGGGCUCGUAGGCGGCCAACUAAGUCAGACGUGAAAUCCCUCGGCUUAACCGGGGAACUGCGUCUGAUACUGGAUGGCUAGAGGUUGGGAGAGGGAUGCGGAAUUCCAGGUGUAGCGGUGAAAUGCGUAGAUAUCUGGAGGAACACCGGUGGCGAAGGCGACAUCCUGGACCAAUUCUGACGCUGAGGAGCGAAAGCCAGGGGAGCAAACGGGAUUAGAUACCCUAGUAGUCC
rnacentral:rRNA from 1 species